UGUGCAGGGUCACCAACCACCAGACCAGGCUGCCCAGAGCCACAUCCAGCCUGGCCUUGAAUGCCUCCAGGUUUGGGGCAUGUACAGCCUCCUUGGGGAACCUGUUCCAGUGUGGAGGAGUGCGUGCUGCUGAGGGCCCCCCCUGGAUUUGUUGGGCGUCUUUGGGUGGCGGGCAGUGGGUGGGGCUUCGUGCUGAGCUGAGUUGUGCUGGUUUCUCUGGGCACUGACAGGAGUUGGGCACAAGGAGUGCCCGGUGGGCGAGGUUUCUGACUGGAUUUUGUAACUGUAGGCUUGUGAGUAAAUAAACCUAUUAUCUAAGCGUGUCUUCCAGAAUGAGCUAUGCUUCUCAAUAUAUUAUUAGGCACAUAAAUAAAUUUGACCUAAUUUUAACUCGCUUCCAGGUUUUACUGAAUGUGACAUGUUCCUGUGUACAUGUGAGCCCAGCUUAUGACCUCUGUAAACUUUUGGUAGUUUUCAGGGGUGCUUGGUAAAGUCUGAUACUCCCUUUGCAUAGAUAACAGUUUGCAGUUUUUUAUUUUCACAGGCCACAUCUAGGUUUUUCUUACUGACCAAAAAUAGAGAUUUUUGUGAAUCAAAAAUACAGGAAUGUCAAAUCAGAGGUUGCAUGGGGAGAUGUUACCCAAGUACCCACAAGCUGACAGCUUCUUUGCAGUGCUUCUCAAGCUGUAAACAAACUCCUUCAUAAUACAAUCACAGAGAUGUUUGAUACGUGGCACUAUAAGGAUGUUUUACUCCUUGUAUUGUAGCAUCCAGUCACAGCAGUUAGCCUGCAGGCUGAGAGUGCUGUUUUUGCACUUUGCCAGAUCUCCAAAAACUUUGAUUUUAAACUCCUGGAGCCAAAUAGAACAGUUAUUACAUUCUGGAUGAUUAUUUGCUUGUAAACAUCAGACUUCAUUUUCAAUUGUAGGCUUUUUAGGAUUAGCAUUUUCCAUUAGUAAAAUGACUGUUAAUCUGCUUCUUAUGCCUUGCAUUGGUGUUCUCCUUUUUAGCUGCUUGCAUAUUUCUUUCAGAGACCCCAGGAAUACUUAUCUGAUGCUAGGAAAUACAGGAGACAAACUGAUUGCAAGGGUGUCUCACUGUUUCCUCUCAGUGUUGCCAUCUGCAAAUUGCUUGGUCCCAGGAGAGAUCCUCUCCUGCAUCCAUGGCUAGCCUCAUGUAAGAGACAAGACAGGGAGUAUCAAUGCCAACCACUGUAGACUGGUGCUCUGCCAGCAGGGCCUCCUGUCACACUGAGUAGUAGAGCUGCUACUGGAAUGGGAGCAUGGGAAAUGAAUAUGUGUCUGCCUGGAGAAAGAAGUAAUGCCACGGCUGUCUUUUGAGGAGUCUGUUGCUUGCUGCUGUGUCUGACAGCAAGGUGCUUCUGUUGUGAAGAACAGAAGUCAGAACCCAGAACUGAGCACCACCUUCUGCGGAACAGAAGCCUACGUGGCCCCAGAGAUGUGGCUGCAUUACGCCCAUGAUGCCAAGAAGUUGGACGUCUGGAGCCUGGGGGUGGUCCUUUUUGCCAUGGUGACUGGCUGCUUGCCCUUCCACGGCUGCCUCUGCAACAUGAUCCAGCAUCAGAAGGAUGGGGUCCUGCACCUGAGGGGGGUGUCCGUGCUGCCAGAGCCCUGCCAGGCCCUCAUUGUCCAGCUGCUGCAGUUCUUACCAUGCU